CCCUCUGACUCACCCAUUUCCUCUCUCUGGAACCUUCCGUCUCUCCGUCUCUCCAAACGCCACAGCCAUGGCGAUCGAGAAGAAACGCCCACUCCAGACCAGCAACAGCGCGAACAUAGCCCCAGCCCCAACUGAUGGCCAAGGCAAGACGAUCGAAGAGAUGUACCAGAAGAAGAGCCAGCUCGAGCACAUCUUGCUCCGACCCGACACGUACAUCGGGUCGAUCGAGAAGCACACCCAAAUCCUAUGGGUCUAUCAAAACGACGAGAUGGUUAACCGUUCCAUCAGCUACGUUCCCGGACUGUACAAGAUCUUCGAUGAGAUCCUCGUCAACGCCGCCGAUAAUAAACAGCGAGACUCGUCCAUGGACUCCGUGAAAGUCACCAUUGACGUCGAGCAGAACUGUAUAAGUGUCUACAACAAUGGGGCUGGAGUGCCCGUGGAGAUUCACCAAGAGGAGAAGGUGUAUGUGCCGGAGUUGAUCUUCGGACACCUAUUGAGCAGUAGCAAUUACGACGAUACGGAGAAGAAGACCACCGGUGGUCGCAACGGCUAUGGUGCCAAGCUUACGAACAUUUUUUCCACUGAGUUAAUCAUCGAGACUGCUGACGGAAAGCGACAGAAGAAGUACAAGCAGGUAGGUUUCCGAUUGUUUCGGAUCUGGGCUUUCAAUUCUUGUGGAGUAGUAUCAGAUGCUUUUAACUUGGGAGGCAAAGGCCGUGCAAGUGCUCGUUAUAUAUAUACUCGGCUUUCUCCUAUUACAAGAUUCCUUUUCCCGAAGGAUGAUGACAGACUUCUUGACUACUUGAAUGAAGAUGGGCAAUCUAUUGAGCCAACUUGGUAUGUUCCAAUUAUACCAACAGUUUUAGUUAAUGGUAGUGAAGGAAUUGGGACAGGGUGGAGCUCUUACAUUCCUAAUUAUAAUCCAAGAGACAUUGUUGCAAAUGUAAGGCGCUUGCUUAAUGGUGAAGCAAUGGUGCCAAUGGAUCCCUGGUACAGAGGAUUUUCUGGAACUAUUGAGAAAACUGUCAAGGAAUCAGGUGUAAGCUACACCGUAUGUGGGGUCAUAGAGGAGGGCAAUGAGACAACAGUUAGGAUUUCGGAGUUGCCAAUCCGUAGGUGGACUCAAGAUUAUAAGGAAUUCCUUGAGUCUAUCUCUCAAGGAAAUGACAAGGCCAAGGAUCUCAUUGAGGUAAGUGCAUUAUGCAUGCUGCAAGGUUUCACACAGCACAGUGAUCACAGUACUGUAGAUAUCAUAGUCCACUUACCUGAAGAGACCCUAAUGGUUGCCAGGCAAGAGGGUUUGUUGAAGAAAUUUAAACUGACCACCAGCAUUAGCACAAGUAAUAUGCACCUGUUUGUUCCAAAAGGCGUGAUAAAGAAAUACGACACUCCAGAACAAAUUCUUGAGGAGUUUUUUCACCUAAGACUUGAAUUCUAUGAGAAAAGAAAGAAAUUACUCUUGGAUAACCUUGAGAUGGAGUUGUUAAAAUUGGAAAACAAGGUCAGGUUUAUCCUGGCUGUCGUAAAUGGAGAGAUCAUUGCGAGCAAUAGAAGGAGGGCUGAUUUAUUCCUUGAGCUCCAACAGAAAGGUUUCACUCCCUUUCCAAAGAAGACCAAGGCCCAAGAGCCAGAAGUUGCUGGGGCAAUUGAAGAUACAGAAGAAACGGAAGAGAACUCUGAGUCUGCCAGUGGAAAUGGAGCACGUAUUAGUGAUUAUGAGUAUCUCAUAUCCAUGGCAAUUGGGACCUUGACCAUUGAGAGGGUUCAGACCCUAUGUGCUUGAUAAGGAUAAGGUCAAUAACGAGGUUGCUGAGUUGAGAAAUUCAACACCAAGGUCACUGUGGUUGAAGGAUCUUGAUGCUCUUGAAAUGGAACUUGGUGAGCUGGAGAAAAGUGAGGCUCUGGCAGAGGAGGCAAAAAAGAAAUCACGAAACCAAGUGAAAAUGCAGCUGCUGCUAAGGUUUCUAAACCAGCACCUAAAAACCCACGCAAGAAUAAUAAGAAGGCCAACAAUGCAGAAGCUGCUGCUGAAAGCAGGGAAACAUCUUCCAGUUUUGUGUUUGAAAUGGAGAAAGCUCCUGAGAUAGUGAAACGGAAAGUUGGAGCAGUUGCAAAGAAAGCUCCUGCUGGCAAGAAGCAGGCAAAAUCUGCUGUAGUUUUGAGUGAUGAUGAUGAUGAAGUGCUUGAGCUGAAAGACAGACUAGCUGCCUAUAAUCUUGAUUCAUCUCCCGAAAAUUCAGCAGGCAAGGAAACCGAAGUGCCACAAGAACCAGUCCAGAGAAAUGAACCUAGCAAAAGGGCCAUGCAAAUAGAUGAUGACGAGGUUUUGAGGUAGAAAUAGCAGCUGCCCCAGCAGCAGGAAAGAAGGGAGGGAGAAAAGCAGCUGGAACUACAAAGGCAUCAAAACCCCCUGCAGCGGCAAAGAAGAGAGGCGCAGCUAACAAGCAAUCUCAAGCCUCGUCAUCAUCAGGCCAGAAGCUUUUAACUGACAUGUUAAAGCCUGCUGAAACUUCCGGGGUUUCACCGGAGCCGAAAGUGAGGAAGAUGAGGGCAUCCCCAUUCAACAAGAAAAGUGGUUCCGUGAUGGGGAGAGUUAGGAGGUUGAGAUGGCUGAAAGUGAAGAGAAGGUGAACACUCCAUCCACUGAAGAAAGAAGUGGCGCUCCAGUGGCGGCCAAAGCUAGGCCUCAGAGGGCAAACCGCAGGCAGACGAGGUAUGUGUUGAGUGACUUGGAGAGUGAGAAGGAGGUCAGUGAGGAUUCUGAUUUUGAUGCAAGUGAAGAAGACUAGGACUAGUUUUUUUUUUUUUUUUCUGUUGAUGGUAGAGGCUAAAAAUUGAGUGUGCAAUGCAAAGAAAGAAGCUUGCUGUGGGAAUUCUAGCUCAUUAUUCCCCUUGUACUUUAAAUUGUUGUUUUUAUGAUUUUAUUAUCAUGCUGAUAAGCUAAGUUUUAAUAUUUUAGUAUCAAGUUUGAUUUGUGUUGUAAAUCUGUUGAAGAUCUAGCUUGAUUUGUGUUAGUUUAGCAAAUUGAACUGUGAAUUGGUCACCAAGAUUGAGGAUUUUAUUAUCAAGUUUGGUAUAUAUUGGUCUCGUUUUGAUGUGGCAA